UACGUAGGGUGCAAGCGUUUGUCCGGAAUUAUUGGGCGUAAAGAGCUCGUAGGCGGUCUGUCGCGUCUGCUGUGAAAACCCGGGGCUCAACCCCGGGCUGCAGUGGAUACGGGCAGACUAGAGUUCGGUAGGGGAGACUGGAAUUCCUGGUGUAGCGGUGAAAUGCGCAGAUAUCAGGAGGAACACCGGUGGCGAAGGCGGGUCUCUGGGCCGAUACUGACGCUGAGGAGCGAAAGCGUGGGGGAGCGAACAGG
rnacentral:rRNA from 1 species